ACAUGUCCGCAUGAUUAAAGGUAUUUUCCGGUAGACGAUGGGGAUGCGUUCCAUUAGAUAGUAGGCGGGGUAACGGCCCACCUAGUCAACGAUGGAUAGGGGUUCUGAGAGGAAGGUCCCCCACAUUGGAACUGAGACACGGUCCAAACUCCUACGGGAGGCAGCAGUGAGGAAUAUUGGUCAAUGGGCGAUGGCCUGAACCAGCCAAGUAGCGUGAAGGAUGACUGCCCUAUGGGUUGUAAACUUCUUUUAUAAAGGAAUAAAGUCGGGUAUGCAUACCCGUUUGCAUGUACUUUAUGAAUAAGGAUCGGCUAACUCCGGGCCAGCAGCCGCGGUAAUACGGAGGAUCCGAGCGUUAUCCGGAUUUAUUGGGUUUAAAGGGAGCGUAGAUGGAUGUUUAAGUCAGUUGUGAAAGUUUGCGGCUCAACCGUAAAAUUGCAGUUGAUACUGGAUGUCUUGAGUGCAGUUGAGGCAGGCGGAAUUCGUGGUGUAGCGGUGAAAUGCUUAGAUAUCACGAAGAACUCCGAUUGCGAAGGCAGCCUGCUAAGCUGCAACUGACAUUGAGGCUCGAAAGUGUGGGUAUCAAACAGGAUUAGAUACCCUGGUAGUCCACACGGUAAACGAUGAAUACUCGCUGUUUGCGAUAUACGGCAAGCGGCC
rnacentral:rRNA from 1 species